rnacentral:lncRNA from 1 species
ACAAAGAGAGAAAAAAAUAACAUAGUACAAUUUCUUUGCAAAAGGACCCAACUGGCCAACACAAACAAACCCUCCUCCAACGAUUGCACCACCACCACCAUAAAAGAACUCGCCAUCAUCAUCGCUUUCUGGAACAACUAAAGAGGAGCUGUAUCUUGAGUUGCCAAUGUAAAGACUACAACAACAGCCAUCCGAAGAUGCUACCAAAGACUGGCAAGUUCUGUCUCUCCUUUUUCCUCUCUUUGGCAAAACUGCAGCGGUGAAUUUGAUCGUACAACUUUGAUUGAGUUUGGCAAAAACCUUUCCAGCCAAACGUUGGCAAAAUCCAACCGAACCUUGGAGGUGUUCAAGUGAUAUGCCACUCCUACUUUUACGGUCGAUAAAAUGGACCACCGAACAUAACAAAGUAAUCCUCGACGCCGCUCUCAGCUAGGUCGAUAACAACAUCGUCAUCCGAGCUCCAUUCAACAUUAUCUCUUUUUAUCGUAAGAUAGGGAUAUGUUUGCAUACCUAAUUUUAAGCAAGUGUGGCAGAUAAAUUUAAAGCCACACUUUAUCAUAGCAUAGGGACUCUUGCCACACUUUUUUAACUCUAUAAUAUGUGGAGUCAAAAAAAUCUUACCUAAGGUUAGUUAACG